rnacentral:rRNA from 13 species
GUAGCGGCCACAGCGGUGGGGUUCCUCCCGUACCCAUCCCGAACACGGAAGAUAAGCCCACCAGCGUUCCGGGGAGUACUGGAGUGCGCGACCCUCUGGGAAACCGGGUUCGCCGCUAC